GGGAAAGAUGGCUGUUGUUCCCACCAUUUUCCACAUACGAAACUUUAACGACUCGACCAAUCCAACCCAAAUAAUUUCCAAGCUGAAUAAGCGAGUAUGCAUCUUCAAAUGCGAUGUGGUUUCGAGGAAUAAUCUGCCAAUUUUCGAGUACUCCAAACAUUAUUGGGAGACACAGAACAACGGCUCGUCUCUCAUUACGAUCUCGG
rnacentral:misc_RNA from 1 species